UACGAAGGGGGCUAGCGUUGUUCGGAUUUACUGGGCAUAAAGCGCACGUAGGCGGAUCGUUAAGUCAGGGGUGAAAUCCUGGAGCUCAACUCCAGAACUGCCUUUGAUACUGGCGAUCUUGAGUCCGGAAGAGGUGAGUGGAACUCCUAGUGUAGAGGUGGAAUUCGUAGAUAUUAGGAAGAACACCAGUGGCGAAGGCGGCUCACUGGUCCGGUACUGACGCUGAGGUGCGAAAGCGUGGGGAGCAAACAGG
rnacentral:rRNA from 1 species